CAGUUAUCGUUUAUUUGAUAGUACCUUUCUACUUGGAUACCUGUGGUAAUUCUAGAGCUAAUACAUGCUAAAAACCUCAACUUCGGAAGGGGUGUAUUUAUUAGAUAAAAAACCAAUGCCCUUCGGGGCUCCUUGGUGAUUCAUAAUAACUCAACGAAUCGCAUGGCCUUGCGCCGGCGAUGGUUCAUUCAAAUUUCUGCCCUAUCAACUUUCGAUGGUAGGAUAGUGGCCUACCAUGGUUUCUACGGGUGAAAAUCCGUUGCCCGUAGGCACGAUCGUUGGGGGGAGGCCCGCGGGCCCUCCCCCGGCGACACCGCUGGCUCCGAAGACGCCUCACGGGGGGGCUGAUUCGGGGGCGAGCUCCCCGCGGGAGCCGCCCGAACGCAUGCAAAGCGGUGGGCUUCGUAUGACCCCGAGGCUUUUGGUCCAUGCUACCGCCCGGCCUCUGGCGCCGGGUAGGAGAAAUGAACGGGGAAUUAGGUACGUUCAGUUUUGCUUUGCUUUAAAUCAAUGCACCUUAGCUAACAUUUAUUUUUCCAGGGUUCUAUUCCGGAGAGGGAGCCUGAGAAACGGCUACCACAUCCAAGGAAGGCAGCAGGCGCGCAAAUUACCCAAUCCCGACACGGGGAGGUAGUGACAAUAAAUACUGAUACAGGGCUCUUUUGGGUCUUGUAAUUGGAAUGAGUACAAUUUAAAUCCCUUCAUGUUCAUGUCGUUAGGGGAUUUCGGUAGUCACUCUGUAGUGGCCACGUCCUUACUCUGACGGGGAGUUUUGACCUAUGUCAACGCAAUCCGCGGCCCAUAUCAUGGGCCCAGAGACUAGAUAAGGGCGGGUGGAUCGUAGAUUCAUUUAUGAUAUAGUCCAACCCUUUGGUUCGUACCGUCGGUGAUCGUGUAACGAGGAACAAUUGGAGGGCAAGUCUGGUGGACACCAAGUGUUCCAGCGCGGUAUACUUAUCCGCUGCUGACGCCAGUCUUUGGUCGAACCUCUCGCUGACGGGAGCUUGAGGUCGAUCCAGUAGGUUUAGACCUGCGAGGUACUUGGCACGGGGAAGGGCCUUGAUGGUCUCAUCCCGUGGUUUGGGGUUCAUUUAACCCCACUCCUUAACGCGCGCAAGGGUACCGGUGGAUGGGAAGUCCGCUUAAGGUACGUGCUAAUCCCGCUUUUAAAGGGUCAGUGGUGCUCCUCUCAGGGCGCCACGAUGGGUUUGUUUUGGCCAGCAGCCGCGGUAAUUCCAGCUCCAAUAGCGUAUAUUAAAGUUGUUGCAGUUAAAAAGCUCGUAGUUGAAACUUGGCCCUGGCUGACCGGUCCGCCUCACCGCGUGCACUGGUUCGGCCGGGGCUUUCCUUCUGGGGAUCCGCAUGGCCUUCAUUGGUCGUGUUGGGGAACCAGGACUUUUACUUUGAAAAAAUUAGAGUGUUCAAAGCAGGCCUAUGCUCGAAUACAUUAGCAUGGAAUAAUAGAAUAGGACGUGUGGUUCUAUUUUGUUGGUUUCUAGGACCGCCGUAAUGAUUAAUAGGGAUAGUCGGGGGCAUCAGUAUUCAAUUGUCAGAGGUGAAAUUCUUGGAUUUAUUGAAGACUAACUACUGCGAAAGCAUUUGCCAAGGAUGUUUUCAUUAAUCAGUGAACGAAAGUUAGGGGAUCGAAGACGAUCAGAUACCGUCGUAGUCUUAACCAUAAACUAUGCCGACUGGGGAUCGGACGGUGUUAUUAUUUUGACCCGUUCGGCACCCUACGAGAAAUCAAAGUCUUUGGGUUCUGGGGGGAGUAUGGUCGCAAGGCUGAAACUUAAAGACAUUGACGGAAGGGCACCACCAGGAGACUUGGAAAGGGUUCCAUGCCUGGUUACAACACAGUUAACCCCCCCCGGCGGCGGGGGCGGUGAGGCCUUUGAAUUGCGUGGACUGUCUGGGCCGAUCGGCCUGGACGUACCCGCAGCCGUGCUCCGUACUCCGGGGAUUCGGUCCACAGAUCAAGUGGUGGCCGGUGGACCUUUUGGGGUACACUAAUGAUAUGAUCGGCCCUUAGGCUCACGGCUUAGGGAUCUAGCGCGUGGAGCCUGCGGCUUAAUUUGACUCAACACGGGGAAACUCACCAGGUCCAGACACAUUAAGGAUUGACAGAUUGAGAGCUCUUUCUUGAUUAUGUGGGUGGUGGUGCAUGGCCGUUCUUAGUUGGUGGAGUGAUUUGUCUGCUUAAUUGCGAUAACGAACGAGACCUUAACCUGCUAAAUAGCCAGGUCAGCUUUGGCUGGCCGCCGGCUUCUUAGAGGGACUAUCGGCUCAAGCCGAUGGAAGUUUGAGGCAAUAACAGGUCUUUUAAUUCACAGGCCUGUUCAAUACCGCGCAAUAGGCGUGGCGGUCGUACAAUGUGCGGCUCAACACCACUGGUACCGAGGACGCCCAGAUGGGCCGAUUCGAUGGCGCGCUCUCAGGCCGUCUAAACGCAUGCAAAGUGGUGGGCGCUCCCAUGCGAGCGCUUCAGGUACAUGCUGACCGUCCUUUCAAUGGGAUUUCAUCGCUCGGGAGCUUCUUCAUUCUGAUCGAUAGGAUAAAUGCUGUGAUGCCCUUAGAUGCUCUGGGCCGCACGCGCGCUACACUGACAGAGACAACGAGUAAUCCACCUUGGCCGGAAGGUCUGGGUAAUCUUGUUAAACUCUGUCGUGCUGGGGAUAGAGCAUUGCAAUUAUUGCUCUUCAACGAGGAAUGCCUAGUAAGCGCAAGUCAUCAGCUUGCGUUGAUUACGUCCCUGCCCUUUGUACACACCGCCCGUCGCUACUACCGAUUGAAUGGCUCAGUGAGGCCUUCGGACUGGCCCCAGGAGGUCGGCAACGACCACCCAGGGCCGGAAAGUUCGUCAAACUUGGUCAUUUAGAGGAAGUAAAAGUCG
rnacentral:rRNA from 1 species